rnacentral:tRNA from 1 species
AGAAAUAAAUUAAAAUGAACUUCUAAUUCACCAAAUUAUGAUUAAAAAUCAUAUUAUUUCUU